AUUGUUGCGGUCGUAGCCCAUGACGUCACUUCCUCCUUCACCAGCCCGUUCCUGGAUGCUAUGGUGGAAGAAGAAUGAAUGUGUUUGUCGAGUGGGCUAGCCGAUUGCUCCUCAUGUCGUUUCUUUGCUAAGGCGGACUGAUGUCGGCUGAAUAUUCUCGGAAAUGUUAACUUCCAUCCUAUACAGGCUUGACUGAGAUGCUGGAAGAACUUCAAGGCCGUGCCACAGAUAUUCAUCACAAAUCUUAUUACCGACGCUGGCAUUUUCCUGCCACAGGCGGAGGCCCAAGGUCAGUGGAGGUCUGACGGGACGUUGAUGAAUGGAUGUGAAGGGUGUCAUCCUGGAUAAACAGCGCCCGGGCCCACAUGCUGCUACAUCCUGAAAAAUACGUCUGCUCCACCAGCAGCCCAGGGAAAUAGUUUGGAGGUUUCACACAUCCUUUCGAUUGCUCACUCUGUCUUUCUCUCUGCGUGGAACGUACAUCACUCCCCGUGUAUGAAAAGAAAAGAAAAAAAAUAACACACACCCA